AAGAGAAGCAUCAGCCUAACAUGAGACACUUUUUAUUUUAGAUGCACCAAGAAAUUAGACUGGAAUUGGACUUUUCCAAUCACUGGUGAGCUUUUGCUCUUGACGAGCCUUGAUUGAGUGGCUGGAAACUGAACAUGUAAUUUUUUAUUCUGGCAGUGAAGAAACCAAACGACAACAACAUCCCUUGUUUAUUACAGUUAUAUGUUGUCAGUGAAAAAAAAGGAAGAAGAAAAAGAACGAACUCGAAUACUCAGGAUAGAAGACCAGGCCAAGGUAGAUGGCAGGAGAAAAUUUAAUCAGGGAAUGUGGAAGGACUUUCCCAGCUUUGUCUCUUCACUCUCAACCAGACUCUGACAUUCAUUCAAAAAUGAGAACAUCAAUAGCCAGGUCGCAUUCUUUAAAUAAUCUUCUGGAAUAAAAAGUUAUUAGCCAGAAAGGUCUUCGUCUCUCUUGCAGAAUCUCUCCUUUAGCCUGUGGGAGGUCCCAAACUCUGGUUCUCUUGGGAUUAGAAUGGUUUUAGAGAGUUUAUUGAUGAUGUAGUGGGAAGAUCGGUGCAGAGAGGCAGAGAACAAAAGUUUUAAUAAAGAUCUGGUUGCUUUGUCAUACAUAGAGAAGACAGGGGAGGGAAUGCACUUGGGGACAUGAGACUAAACAAGGAAGUAUGAGAGGACAAGAGGUCCAGGAUCGGGAACACAACAGCAAACUUGAUCUGACGAGGGGCAAGCAGAAAUCAAAGUUGAAAGAGACUGGGUCAUAUACUUUACUCUGUCAUGGAAAUACUGUUGGAAUGACCUUGGCAAGGAAAAUAAGACAAUCUAGCCCUGGAGGAGAGACUGAUGAGGGUAAAAAACACCGAUGGAAAGGGUGACUCAUAAUGAGAUGAAUGAGCCCAGCCAAGUUCCAUUGCACAUCACAAACCAUAACUGUUUUAAUUCUGUCUAUGGAUGUGGAAAUGUUGGCCGACCAUUUGAAACCUCACAGGUAAAGUAAACCUCUCAAGGAAACAUACUUUGUAACAAACCAUUUAGCGCACUAAUCAUUCUGAAUGGUAAUAUAAGAGGCUAAGGACAUUUCACUCCUUAGCCUUGACAGGAACCACAGAUUCCUGUCAAACUCUCUUGUUAAGUAUAACAACAUUUGCGAGCCUGUGUAUGACCUUCGCAUAUGAACUGCCACUGCUUUCCGACUGUGGAUUUAAUUGUGGAGUUUUUAAGUGUCUGACCUCCAUAGAGUAGGAACACACAAACUGUGUUGAGGAUGAGUUACACCUUACUCUUAGAAAACAAUUCAACAUUUUGUUUUAUGCCACACUGUUAUUUCCAGUUGGGCAAAAAAAGUGAA